rnacentral:rRNA from 1 species
ACCUGGUUGAUCCUGCCAGUAGUCAUAUGCUUGUCUCAAAGACUAAGCCAUGCAUGUCUAAGUAUGAACAACUUUAUACUGUGAAACUGCAGAUGGCUCAUUAAACCAGAAAUAAUUUUUUUGAUGGUGACAAACUACAUGGAUAACCGUGGUAAUUCUAGAGCUAAUACAUGCGUCGACACCGCAAGGUGGUAUUUAUUAGAUCCGAACCAGCCCCUUCGGGGUUUCUUGGUGAAUCAUGAUAACUGUUCGUAUCGCCAGGCUCUGCCAGGCGAAAGUUCAUUCAAAUUUCUGCCCUAUCAGCUAUUGACGGUAGUGUAGUGGACUACCGUGGCUUUAACGGGUGACGGAGAAUUAGGGUUCGAUUCCGGAGAGGGAGCCUGAGAAACGGCUACCACAUCUAAGGAAGGCAGCAGGCGCGCAAA